rnacentral:rRNA from 1 species
AUUGAACGCUGGCGGCAUGCUUUACACAUGCAAGUCGAACGGCAGCGCGGGCUUCGGCCUGGCGGCGGGUGGCGAACGGGUGAGUAAUACAUCGGAACGUGCCCAGUAGCGGGGGCUAGCGCGGCGAAAGCCGGAUUAAUACCGCAUACGACCUGAGGGUGAAAGCGGGGGAUCUUCGGACCUCGCGCUAUUGGAGCGGCCGAUGGCAGAUUAGCUAGUUGGUGGGGUAACGGCCUACCAAGGCGACGAUCUGUAGCUGGUCUGAGAGGAAGACCAGCCACACUGGAACUGAGACACGGCCCAGACUCCUACGGGAGGCAGCAGUGGGGAAUGUUGGACAAUGGGCGAAAGCCUGAUCCAGCAAUGCCGCGUGUGUGAUGAAGGCCUUCGGGUUGUAAAGCACUUUUGGCGGGAACGAAAAGGACUGUGCCAAUACCACGGUUUGAUGACGGUACCCGCAGAAUAAGCACCGGCUAACUACGUG